UGAACAGGCCGACUAAGAAAAGUGCUGAAUUUUUUGAUCACCAAGCAGAGCCGAAGAUGGAUACGAAGUGUCUGACUGAAACAGAGAGAUGACAUACAACUCUGCAAACAGGAAAAGGAGGCUUUCGUGGUUUUCUGUAUGGUAGACUGGGCAAAAACUAGAUUGAUGAAGAAGUUUUGGAAUACAUGGAAAGAUAUUCCAUGAAAGUAUCCUGUUUGUUGAGGUAUUCAAAUAUCGGCCCAGGACCAGAAACACUGGCAUAAGCUCAGAGCUUUGGAGAAAGCAAAAUCUCAGAUUCUACUCCAGACCCACUCAAUCAGAAUCUACAGGUUAAUAAAUUCCCUAGUGGUUUACAUGUAUGUUGAAGUUUGAGAAGAACGGGUCAAUACCAAGGAGCUGUACCCCCUUGUAACACCAAACCAUAACUUCAUUUCAG
rnacentral:lncRNA from 1 species